GCUGGGAUGGCCAAGUGGUUAUGACAUUGAACUUAAAAUCCAAUAGACGUGUGCCCUUGUGGGUUCAAAUCCCAUUCCUGGUA
rnacentral:tRNA from 1 species